GCCUGAGUGGUGAAAUCGGUAGACACAAGGGAUUUAAAAUCCCUCGACGUUCGCGUCGUGCCGGUUCGAUUCCGGCCUCGGGCACCA
rnacentral:tRNA from 2 species